rnacentral:rRNA from 1 species
AAGAGUGAAGGGGGAAUGGGGUUCUGAGAUCUAUAUUCUUUCAACCUAGCAAUGCUCUCAAAACAAUGUUAGAUAUUACUAAACAAUCCGGAUUCAUUAUGUGCAAGAGUACUAAAGGCGAAAUAUUUCCCUAAUGGUAGCUUAUUAUAGGCUACUCUAAAAAAGGGGGCUUCAUUUACCUGGCAGAGUAUUAUGAAGGGAUUGGAGACAUUUAAAUUGGGGUACAUAUGGCGAAUUGGGUCAGGAGAGAAGGUGAACAUCUAGAGUGACCCCUGGGUUCCAAGUAGUGCAAAUAGAAUGGUGAUUACACCACGUGGUCACACUGUUCUGACUACAGUUAAUGAUCUCAUAGACCCUCUAAGUGGAAACUGGGACGAAGAACUGAUUACAUCUAUUUUCAACCCCGUCGAUGUUUGAAGGAUCCUGGAAAUUCCACUUAAUUACAAUGCUUUUGAGGACUUCAUAGACUGGCACCCGGAUCGAAGAGGUAUUUUCUCAGUCCGCUCAGCUUAUCACACUAAAUGGAUUCGGACUUUUAGGGCACAUACAAAUGUACUAGCGCAGCCAGGGAGGUCCAGCACACCAGCUGUGUGGAGUAUAUUGUGGAAGCUUCAAAUUCCACGUAAAAUUCUAAUCUUUUGCUGGCGGGCACUACAUGGAAUUUUACCCCUAAAGUCCAUACUUACUAAUAGGCAUAUUGGGACAACUGGAGCAUGUCCUAUAUGCCACAGUGCGGCUGAAGAUGUGAAGCACCUGCUGUUUGAAUGCUCUCAUGCUACAGAGCUUUGGUCACGCCUUGGCAUCUUGGAUAUUAUC